UUCCUGUGCUUGUCCCUGAUUGGCUUAGUGGUCUCACCUGUGUUAGUGUUUCUCCUGUUUCUGCUGUUUUUCAGUCAAUUGUUCUCCAUUGCCUCUUGUGCCUCCUGUGUUUUGUGGAUUUACUUUCCGCUGGACUUUAGGAUUACUCACCUGUUGUAUUUUGGACUCUCUCCACAUCACCUCUGACCUGGGAGUCAGAGGAAAGGGGGCAGAGUCAUUAGGCUGAAUCCAUCCUUGCUGGCAGGGAGCUAUGGGACAGAUCGAGGACGCUGGAGUCUCUCCUUCUGAGUCAUUGAGGGUGAAAGCAGACUGUCGGAGCGAAGCUCGUUGGUCUGGUGGUUUCCAUCGCCAGGAGCCACUUCCGUCUGUGCUUGGAGGUCUUACCACUGGUUUGUUUGAUCUGGACUCUGGGUGAGCUUCAACACGGACUAUACUGCCAGAUCUUUCCAGACCUCCUAAAAGAACAAGGCAAAUGAAUCACUCAGUAAUUAUCUUGCACUACUAAGAAUCAGAAUCAUCAUUUUGCGUUUCCUAUAAAUGCAAAGGUGCCUAUAAUGCUGGGACUGCCACAUUGAGGUCUUCAAGAAAAUCAAAAACCUCAUCAAUGCUUGGUUUUUUCUAUAUAACUAUAUACAGUGUACUGUUUAGCAUGGAUGAUUAUUACUGUCGCACAAAGCGCUUACGCUGUGCACAAGCGAAGAUGAUGUGAUUUGAUGCCGCUGAUCGCAAAAGUGGAGGAAGAGAAAGAAAAUGGUGAGGGACGAAGAAGAGACAGGCCAGAGAAAAAGACGUCCAAAGUUUGGGAUUAUUUUCUAGCUAAAAGAAAACCACAGCUCUGUUCAGGGUGUCUACUAUAAAACAGAAGCAGCCUACCACAACAGUACGACAGCAACGCUUCAGGGUAGCAAAGGGGUCGGGUCGCUGGGGCAGCAGCUCCCCCAGGGAACCCCAAACCUCCCUAUCUCGAGGCACAUUAACCAGCUCUGACUGGGGGAUCCCGAGGCGUUCCCGGGCCAGGGUGAAAAUGUAAUCUCUCCAACUAGUCCUGGGUCUUCCCUAAGGCCUCCUUCCAGCUGGACGUGCCUGGAACGCCAUCAUUACCAGAUGCCGAACCACCUCACCUGGCUCUUUUCGACGCAAAAGAAGCCAGCCACCCUCCUGAGAAAAACCAUUUUGGCCACUUGGCCACUUUUGACCAGUAAGGGCUUUGCUUUCUGGUUCAGCUGUCUUUUCAUAACAAGCAAAGCGAAUGCUAUACAACCAACGCUGCUCUGAUUCUCCGGCCAAUCUCCCGCUCCAUUGAUCCCUCAGUUGUCAACAAGACCCCAAAGUACUUUAACUCCUUUACAUGGGGUUUGAGACUCAUCCCUUUCCCACAAUGAGCACUUCAUCAUUUUCCUGCUAAGAACCAAUAAACAGACCAAUAAAGUUUGACAAAAAGAG